GGGAACAUAGGCUCCAGCCAUACACUUUAACCAUGGAGGAUAAUAAGAGUUUAAACAAAGAUGAUCCACAUGAUCAUCAAUGUUUGGAAGGUCAAGUCCAGAAAAUGAAGAAUGAUAUCCUGGGUUUAAACUAUCCAGAAGAUAGUGAAGUGAAGGAUCCCCUGCCUCAGAUCGAGCUGAAGGCUGUGACAAGGAGAAAAGUUAAGACCAAGAGGAGGACCAGUGCCAACAGGUCCACAGUUGAACAGAGCACUGAUACUGAUGCAGCUGAGAGAGAUUUAGUUGAUAAUCAGAAUGAUGAAGAUGAGGAAGAGGUGAAGAAGGAUCCACCGCCUCAGAUGGAGCAGGAUGCCGUAAAGAGAAAUAAAGUCAAGAUCAUCACAGCAGCUGAUGUUGCUGUACAGAGGAAGGAGAUCCUCCGAGCAUCAGGCCUCAUCCCUGAACGAAGGAGUUGA
rnacentral:lncRNA from 13 species